GCCACAGUAGUCAUUUAGAAUCUGGGACUAGAGACUGAGGAGACAGUCAGGAGAGGGACCCAAGAUUGUAAGCUGCCCUUGACAUUUCAGGGACCCCCACAUUUGAGGGUAAGACCCACCUGAAGAUGCAGGUGCAGCCAUCUUCUGUGAAGGGUCACUACAUGCUCUACUGUGAGGGGGAUGUGGAGGAGAUGAGCUUCACCAUGACCCAGCUCAUGGGUAAGUUUCCACCCCUCAAGCUCACCAUUCCCAUGCCAACCCCAUCAUUCCUCUAGGCCCCCGUGUGAGAGGAGCAGCUUUCCUCUCCUGGGCAGGGGGCAGGGCACAGUGCUGCUGGCUGGCCACACCUACCUUGCUGAGCCUCCACUGCAGUAACUGCCAAGCCUGGCAGGCAGCACCCAGGAUAGAGGAAGACAUUGCCUCUUGGCCACAGAGGCUGUUGGUGAUGCUCUGUGGAAUCUCAUGGUGUCAUGCGGGGUUUAUAACACAGGACAGUGGUGACUUGACUGAAGCCUUCUCAGUACAGGGACCUUUAAGGUCGGAGGCAAGAAGUUACAGGCCUCCACUGGGAGGUUUGGUUUCCAGGGUCCUUUGAUGGCUCAGAUGCUCUCCACGCUCAGUGAUAACCCUCCACACCAGGUCACCUCCAGCCCUUGGCUAUUUCAUGAGGAAGCACCUGGUGCUGGGCUCCUGUCUUUGUGGCACUGGCUCCUUUUAAACAUGUGGUCACCUCCCUCUGCUCACCCAUCCGUCUUCCACCCCCAGGAAGAUUUGGAGGCUUUGGAGGAAUUUAAGGAGUUCACACAGCUAAAGAGACUUGUUCCAGAGAACCUGCUUAUACCUGAACAGAUGGAAACAUGUGAACCAGAGAGUAACUAGUGGGACACGCUGGGACACGCUGGGACACGCUGAGACACGCUGGGACACGCUGGGACACGCUGGGAUAAUCUGGGACACGCUGGGACAUGCUGGGACACGCUGGGAUAAUCUGGGACACGCUGGAACACGCUGGGACACGCUGGGAUACCCUGACAUACACUGCCCAGUUGCCACCCAUCCAGCAAACGUCCUGUCCUUAGUCUCCUUCAGGGCUUCUGGGGAUUUCCUACCUGCUGGUGUAUACCUGCCAUCCCUGUGUCCCUGAGCCUACUCUGACCAUGGAGCAGAAAGUCCUGGGCCCUGAAUGAGGAUGGCCAGGGACAGGUGGGGUCAUGAUAUCCAUAUCCUUUAUGCCUCCACUUGUCAGUCACACCCUUGCCUAAUCACCACUACGUGGACAGAGCUUUUCUGAGAGAACUCAGCAGAAAGGAAUUCCUUGUCCAGCACUAGCUAGUUUUGCUUCUCUGUGAGCCUGUGAUGCUGCCCCAAAGCACCUAACAUUCCCACCCCCCACCAUAACCAGUCAGUCACUGUACCCUGCUUGCUCACAAACUCCCCUUUUUAGAGCAUGGCGAACCAAGGCUCCAAAGAAGUCCAAGGCAGCGAGCACAGCCAGAAUCUCUGUCCUGUGGGAGGCGGAAAGAGUGCCCUGUUGGUCCCUCCGACUCUCCUCUCUCUCCUCAUCCUCCUCCCCAUCGCCUCAAUAAAGAGCUUCAGCAGGCCUGGUGACUCUGCCUGUGUGUGAGACCCUUGGUGGUCUCAAUCUCUCUCCCUUGUGAUCACCUGAGGGGAAGAUGGGGUGAGAAGAACUUAGGAGAGCUGGAACCCCCAGCCUUGCUUGGGGGAGGCACGGAAGCUGGAGACGGUGCCAGGUCUCCAGCCCCUGGGAUCCUUGUAUAGUUGUGGCACCCCAGAGACCAAGUUUCAGGCCGUGAGUGAAAUGAGGAGGACGUCCAUGACAAUGACAGGGUGGGACUCCAAGCCACAGGUGAGCAGCAACAGAGUCCAAGCAGGUGGGGACCCCUGGGGACUCGAGGUAGGAAUGAGGCCAGGACACAGGCCUGGGGUAGGUUCCCAGAUCCAGUAUGUAGGACACUGAGAAAUUGUCCACAUGGGUUCAGGACACUUGCAAUCUCUCUGUGCAAGCUGGAGAAACAGUCUGUGGAGGAGCGACCUUACUAAAGCACUCUGAUGCCAUUCAGUGCUAUUUCUCAGGUCAUUCUCAAACUUUGCUCUGAGUGGCCUGAGGGGUCAGCUAGGACCCAGUCUCUCUCUCUCUCUCUCUCUCUCUCUCUCUCUCUCUCUCUCUCUCUCUCUCUCUCU
ensembl:lncRNA